rnacentral:rRNA from 1 species
GACAGAGGGUGCAAACGUUGCUCGGAAUUACUGGGCGUAAAGCGCGUGUAGGUGGACUGGUGUGUCAGAUGUGAAAUCCCUGGGCUCAACCCAGGAACUGCACCUGAAACUACCAGCCUUGAGUGGUGGAGAGGGAAGUGGAAUUCCUGGUGUAGAGGUGAAAUUCGUAGAUAUCAGGAGGAACACCAGUGGCGAAGGCGGCUUCCUGGACACCAACUGACGCUGAGACGCGAAAGCGUGGGGAGCAAACAGG